GGAUGACCUACUGCUCCCGCCGAGAUUCUGCAGUAUGGAAGCGACGGGACUGGCGUGGAACUGCUGUCAGAAUCAAAGAUGGUGGAAAACGGCGCGUCGGCUCUUUUAAGUUGUAAGGUCACGUGACGAUACUGACAUGGUGGAUGUAGAAUGUCCACAUUGUAUUCGUACCGCACGCACGCACUCACUGCCUGGCCAAAAAUAAAUAAGUAGUCGCGCACUCUAACAUUUCGUUGCACAUUACAGCACGCAUUCAUCGUGGCGUUGUUUCGAUGAUGUUUAUUUCCAUCCAGAGUUGCAUUCAUUUUUGGCCGAGAUCUUGUGUUGAGGACGGGAAAGUCGAAAUACUCCGUAAAGUGUUCUCCAGCACAUCCCCAAAGAUCUUCAAUGGGGUUAAAGUCAGCUCCCUGAACUACUUUUUCACAAUUUGAGCCUGAUGAAUCUCGCCAUUGUCAUCCUGGAAUAUGCCUGUGCCAUCAGGGAAGAAAAAAAAAUCCAUUACUGGGAUAACAUAAUGUUGCUGAGCCUCGACCUGACCAAUUGAAGCAACCCCAGACCAUAACAGUUCCUCCAGUGGCUUGUACAGUAAGCAGUAAAUCUGGACUCGUCAGACCACAUGACCUUUUUCUAUUCCAAAUUGAAGUCAUUUUUAUCCGAUUUGCCUCACGCCGAUUGGGCCGCACAGCUGUUUAGUCCCAAUCCUGGAAGUUCUCGUCGCGUUGUGUGUGGAAAUGCUCUUACUCUCACUAUUAAACAUAGACAUGAGUUCUACUCUCCCUUUUUUUUUUUUUUUUAUGAUGUGACCUCACCAAGCGUUUUAAAGAUCAUUCAAGGUUUCGAACGUUCAUUUUUCCGACCACAUUUCUUCCUCAAAGUUGACUGCUUGCCACUCUCCUUCCAGGUUUUAAUAACGCGUUGGACAGUUCUUAACCCGACCCGAUUCCAGGGAUUCAAACAGUCUCCUUAGUUGUUUUCGUUGCUCGAUGCAUGGCAAUAAUUUGCCCCUUCUGAAACACAGUAACAUCAUCUCCACGACCAUGGGAUACGUCUUCCGACACGGCUGUUUAAAUAAUGAGAAGCUACACACUGCUUCAGUUAGGGUUCAAAGAAUUGUUGCCAGCUGAAUCACUGCAAUAAUGAUCCAGUCAUAGGCCCUUAAGUAUUUGCUUAUUUAAAUCUAAAUAAUUUUUGGACAGGCAUUGUAUACUGAUCAGAUGGCCGAGCAGUAGGUACUGAAUCGAAUGUAGUUGGUACUGAAUCGAAUGCAGUAGGUACUGAAUCGAAUGCAGUUGGUACUGAAUCUAAUGCAGUAGGUACUGAAUCGAAUGCAAUUGGUACUGAAUCGAAUGCAAUUGGUACUGAAUCUAAAGCAGUUGGUACUGAAUCAAAUGCGAUUUCAGAAGCGGCCAUGGUAUGUUCUUUCUUGAAGGGGAAAAAAAAAAAGUGGAAAUUCUAAAUAGGUUUCUGUGUAUGUUCUCACCAUGAUUGUAUAGGUUUCCUCCAGUUUCUCUGCUUUCCUCAUACUGUCCAAAAACAAGCUGGCUUGGCUAAAUUGCCCCCAGGUGUGUGUGUGUGUGUGUGUGUGCAUAGUGCCCCGACUCAACAUGUAUUCCAGUCUUUCUCCCUGGGAUACACCCUAGAGCUACUGCAUCCCUGCGAUGGAUGAAUGACGAAUGAAUAAAUAAACUUGUAAUCAUGCUGCAUUUCCAAUAACUCCUAAACCAAAGAAAACACCUCCUCAACUUGCUGUUCUUAUCAUCGGGAACCCGAUGCUCUCCAAUCCCUCUCGCUUUUGCUGCUCACGCUUCUGUCCUGCGAUCUUCAUUUCUGACCCCCACUCCCGUCCAACAUCUCGCUCGCUGAACGUUUUUCACCAGAACC
ensembl:lncRNA